rnacentral:rRNA from 1 species
AACGGCCGCGGUAUUUUGACCGUGCAAAGGUAGCGCAAUCACUUGUCUUUUAAAUAGAGACCUGUAUGAAUGGCAUAACGAGGGCUUAACUGUCUCCUUUUUCCUAUCAAUGAAAUUGAUCUCCUCGUGCAGAAGCGAGGAUAAAAACAUAAGACGAGAAGACCCUAUGGAUCUUUAAUCGCAAGAACAGAACAUGUCCAUUCCUAUAUUUUAACAAAAGAAAAUAAUUGAAACCUGUUCUAGUGAUUUUGGUUGGGGCGACCACGGAGAAAAAGAGAACCUCCAUGAGGAACGAAGAUAUUUCUUCCUAUUUAAGGGUGACAACCCUAUAAAUCAGAAUUUCUGACCAUAUGAUCCGGCAAAGCCGAUCAACGAACCGAGUUACCCUAGGGAUAACAGCGCAAUCCUCUUUUAGAGUCCAUAUCGACAAGAGGGUUUACGACCUCGAUGUUGGAUCAGGACAUCCUAAU